rnacentral:rRNA from 1 species
UACGUAGGGUGCAAGCGUUGUCCGGAAUUAUUGGGCGUAAAGAGCUCGUAGGCGGUCUGUCGCGUCUGCUGUGAAAACUCGGGGCUUAACCCCGGGCCUGCAGUGGGUACGAGCAGACUAGAGUGCGGUAGGGGAGACUGGAAUUCCUGGUGUAGCGGUGAAAUGCGCAGAUAUCAGGAGGAACACCGGUGGCGAAGGCGGGUCUCUGGGCCGUAACUGACGCUGAGGAGCGAAAGCGUGGGGAGCGAACAGG